AUCGUAGGUACCCGCGGA
rnacentral:sRNA from 1 species